AUUGAACGCUGGCGGCAGGCCUAACACAUGCAAGUCGAGCGGAGCGGGGGACGGGGGCGUAAUGCCUAGGUAUCUGCCUGGUCGUGGGGGAUAAGGUCCGCAACCGGGCGCUGAUACUGAAUCCUCUCAGAUUAGGCUAGGUCGGAUUAGCUCGUUGGUGUGGUAAAGGCCUACCAGGGCGACGAUCCCUAACUGGUCUGAGAGGAUGAUCAGUCACACGGGAACUGAGACACGGUCCAGACUCCUACGGGAGGCAGCAGUGGGGAAUAUUGGACAAUGGGCGAAAGCCUGAUCCAGCCAUGCCGCGUGUGUGAAGAAGGUCUUCGGGUUGUAAAGCACUUUAAGUUGGGAGGCGUUACCAACAGAAGAAGCACCGGCUAACUUCGUGCCAGCCGCCGCGGUAAUAC
rnacentral:rRNA from 1 species